rnacentral:misc_RNA from 1 species
ACACCCCUCAAGCGUAGCUGGUAUUGGACGUUCGCGGGCCCUCUUCAGGGGGCUGCGUGUCCGAAAAGCAGUGGCGGUCCCCGGGGAUUUCGCGCGUAGUAAAUAUUAUCCCGCGUUGGAAUGAACCGAUGGGCCUUGCCAAAACACCAUAAAUCUCCAUGAUUGACCUCGGAUCAGGUAGGGAUACCCGCUGAACUUAA